GAACAAUAAAAUAACAAAGAAUAAUUUAAAUUAUAGUUUUGGAGAGGAACAGCAAAUCAGAAUUUGUCAUGUAAGUCAAAAAGCACUAAAAGUGAACAAGAAAACUGCUGUCCACCAGUAUAAUAAUGUAUCUAUGAUGAAAUUAAUGUCAGGACGAGGCCAGGAUGAAUGAAGCUGACGUUUUCUUGUUCAUGCUGUUUAUUUCAUUCUUUGUCAUGCUUCUGAAUGGGAAAAUCAACAUGACACCAAUUCUUAUAUUGCUUGUGAUUACCAUGGUAUACAUCCUGAUUGCCAAACUUUAGUGAGAGAUGACAAAUUUUACUAGCGAUUCGAAAGCUAUACACAACAUGUGAAUAAAAUCUUAUUUUUACAGUA